GCCAGUGUGACAUAGUGGUUUGAGUGUUGGACUAUGGCUCUGAAUAUCAGGGUUUGAUUCCCAGCUUGGACA